CCAACCAAUCUGAGACGUUUGGGAAAACACAGAAAGUUAACCGCUCAAUAGUAUUUUGUUUUUGCGUAUUUAAAUCUGGAAAUUCCAGUCCAGUGUUUACGGAGAAGCAAAGAGCAUUUGCAUACAGACUUGCACAAAUUAAAUCAAACAACGGUUAUACUAACUUUUUAAAAUUCCAAUCGCUAAGGCGUGGAAAGGAAAAGGUUACUUUUAUAUAUUAUUCUUAAACAAGGCCCUUGAUGACCCAAAUACUUUUUGAUAAUGGAAAAGUUUUGUCAGCUAGUGUAAUUUAAUCAUGAAUGACAUGUAACUUUAAUUUAUGGAUGACGACUUAGCGAAG